rnacentral:lncRNA from 1 species
AAGAAGCCAAAUCUAAUUAGGAAAAUAUGGCUAAAUACCUAGGGUUUUGGAAACCCUAGGGGCGGCAUGGCAAUUUAACCAAUUUUGGCCAAAAUAAAAAAUAAAUGAAAAGGGAAGAGUGUGGCUCAAACUUGGGUUAAUGGGAAAGGAAUCUUGCUCUUAACCAUUAGACCUAAGCCUAUAUCUUGUUUAAUUUUACUUCAAAUAGUACUUAUUUUAGUGUGCUUUUUAUCCUAAUUUGCU